AAUUCCGCGCGAUUACCAUAUUUUUGUGUGUUAUAGCCCACGCCUUUCGAGUGGUCCCGGGACCACCUGACCCCUAUCGCCUAAUAUUUUUCCGGACUAUCAAAUACGACCUAAGGAAUCAUAGUAUCCGCCCCGCCAUGAUCGUUCCUCAUUUUUUGCGUUUUUCGUCCAAAAAACUAGAAUUUCGCGCGAUUUGCAUAUUUUUGUGCGUUAUAGCCUACACCUUCCGAGUGGUCCCGGGACCUCCGGACCCCUAUCGCCUAAAAUUUUUUCGGACUAUCAAAUACGACCUAAGGAACCAUAGUAUCCGCCUCGACAUGAUCGUUCCUCAUUUUUUGCGUUUUUCGGCCAAACAACUAGAAUUUCGCGCGAUUCCCAUAUUUUUGUGUGUUAUAGCCCACACCUUCCGAGUGGUCCCGGGACCUCCGGACCCCUAUCGCCUAAAAUUUUUCCGGACUAUCAAAUACGACCUAAGGAACCAUAGUAUCCGCCUCGCCAUGAUCGUUCCUCAUUUUUUGCGUUUUUCGGCCAAACAACUAGAAAUCCGCGCGAUUCCUAUAUUUUUGUGUGUUAUAGCCCACGCCUUCCGAGUGGUCCCGGGACCUCCUGACCCCUUUUCGCCUAAUAUUUUUCCGGACUAUCAAAUACGACCUAAGGAACGAUAGUAUCUGCCACGCCAUGAUUGUUCCUCAUUUUUUGCGUUUUUCGGCCAAACAACUAGAAUUUCGCGCGAUUCCCAUAUUUUUGUGUGUUAUAGCCCACGCCUUUCGAGUGGUCCCGGGACCUCCGGACCCCUAUCACCUAAAAUUUUUCCGGACUAUCAAAUACGACCUAAGGAACCAUAGUAUCCGCCUGGCCAUGAUCGUUCCUCAUUUUUUGCAUUUUUCGGCCAAACAACUAGAAUU
rnacentral:lncRNA from 1 species